rnacentral:rRNA from 1 species
UACGUAGGGGGCAAGCGUUGUCCGGAUUUAUUGGGCGUAAAGAGCGUGUAGGCGGCCAUACAGGUCAGCUGUGAAAACUCGAGGCUCAACCUCGAGACGUCGGUUGAAACCGUAUGGCUAGAGUCCGGAAGAGGAGAGUGGAAUUCCCGGUGUAGCGGUGAAAUGCGUAGAGAUCGGAAAGAACACCAACGGCGAAAGCACUCUGCUGGGCCGACACUGACACUGAGAGACGAAAGCUAGGGGAGCGAAUGGG